GGUUCGUCAUUGUCACAGAAAGGGUCGACUUGCCUAGUCGCACCCUUGGGUUGCAUCCAUGACCUUGUCUCGGCUCGGGAGGAAGAUUCUUUGAACCCCGUGGUCGGCAAAACCCAAUCGUAGCCCCUGCGGUUUUGUUGGAGGUGGUAGCUGAGCCGCCGGCACCCUCUAGGUUGGUUGCUUCUUCGGAUCAGGUUGUUUCUUCGGAACUGGAGAUGGUAGAAGAGCCAUGUGUCCUUGAAAAUGCUGGCUCUCUGGUUCUGUUUACUGCUAAUAGGGAUGGGGAGGAUGAACCUAUUCCACUCUACUCCUUUCAUCCCAAUGUGUCUAAUUGGGUUAUCCAGAGAGCGAUGGACAUUAAGAAUAUGGUAGGAAUUUCUUACGGGGAUUUUGAAGCUGAAUUUAUGGCCCUACUUACCGCUGUAGAGGCUGUGAAUGCCCAAUCCAACUCCGAUCAAUCCUUGGCUUUGG